rnacentral:rRNA from 56 species
CAAACGACUCUCGGCAACGGAUAUCCCGGCUCUCGCAUCGAUGAAGAACGUAGCGAAAUGCGAUACUUGGUGUGAAUUGCAGAAUCCCGUGAACCAUCGAGUCUUUGAACGCAAGUUGCGCCCGAAGCCAUUAGGCUGAGGGCACGUCUGCCUGGGUGUCACG